AGAGUUUGAUCCUGGCUCAGGACGAACGCUGGCGGCGCGCCUAACACAUGCAAGUCGAACGGAAUGCGGAGAGGAUUUAUCUUUUCUGUGUUUAGUGGCGAACGGGUGAGUAACGCGUGAGGAACCUGCCUCAAAGAGGGGGACAACAGUUGGAAACGACUGCUAAUACCGCAUAAGCCCACGGGGCCGCAUGGCCCUGAGGGAAAAGGAGCAAUCCGCUUUGAGAUGGCCUCGCGUCCGAUUAGCUGGUUGGUGAGGUAACGGCCCACCAAGGCGACGAUCGGUAGCCGGACUGAGAGGUUGAACGGCCACAUUGGGACUGAGACACGGCCCAGACUCCUACGGGAGGCAGCAGUGGGGAAUAUUGCACAAUGGGGGAAACCCUGAUGCAGCGACGCCGCGUGGAGGAAGAAGGUCUUCGGAUUGUAAACUCCUGUUGUUGGGGAAAAGAAGGAUGGUACCCAACAAGGAAGUGACGGCUAACUACGUGCCAGCAGCCGCGGUAAAACGUAGGUCACGAGCGUUGUCCGGAAUUACUGGGUGUAAAGGGAGCGCAGGCGGGUAUGCAAGUUGGGAGUGAAAUACAUGGGCUCAACCCAUGAACUGCUCUCAAAACUGUGUAUCUUGAGUAGUGCAGAGGUAGGCGGAAUUCCCGGUGUAGCGGUGGAAUGCGUAGAUAUCGGGAGGAACACCAGUGGCGAAGGCGGCCUACUGGGCACCAACUGACGCUGAGGCUCGAAAGUGUGGGUAGCAAACAGGAUUAGAUACCCUGGUAGUCCACACCGUAAACGAUGAUUACUAGGUGUUGGAGGAUAGACCCCUUCAGUGCCGCAGUUAACACAAUAAGUAAUCCACCUGGGGAGUACGACCGCAAGGUUGAAACUCAAAGGAAUUGACGGGGGCCCGCACAA
rnacentral:rRNA from 1 species